AUAUUCCCUUUCAUUCCCACAGCUAGUGGCCGUUGCCGGCGAGGUCGCCAUAGAGACCUCCUCUUUCUCCUCCUCCUCUUCCACCUUCCCUGACUGGGAGAUGCUCGAUCGCUCCGUGUUCUGCAGGGAGGACGACUCCUUCCCUUGCGACGACCCGACCACGGCGCGCGGCACCAACUCCAGGGGCCACGCCGUCCGCGUCUGCUUCUGCCUCCACGUAUCGCCGCGGCCGUCCAAGAUCCACAUGGAGUGGCCCGCCAGCAUAGGGGAUUACGAUUGGGCACCACAACGUCAUGCUCCUCCAGAUGGGCUACCUCACCACCACCUCCGGCUCCAUGAUGCUCAACUACUUCCUCUACCGAAGAGGCGGCUACCACCGACCAUCGUUGUAUCGGCUGCCCCCUCUCGCCGGCACCUUUGCCGACCUCGAGGCUAG
rnacentral:lncRNA from 1 species